AGAUCCCCAAACUAAACGAAGAACUCCCCCCAACGAUAGCAGCUCAAGAAGACUGAAUCUGGAGACCUGGGGUUGAGCAAGAGUUAGAUAAACACCCCAGAAAUGACCAAACAGAUUGCCCUGUUGACUUCCACAGCGAACCACCUUCAAACUAACAUCAAAUCAGCUUCAGAUUUAACUAGCCUGCCUGCCACUGUGAAGGGCCUUCAGAAGAGUGUGGCCUCCAUCGGGUUGCUGUGGAGGUCCUAUAGAAAAGAGUCGAUGCACACAAGAAAAUCAUUGAGACCCUCCAGAAUGACAUGUGUCAGGCAUCCUUGAAAAUAGUAAGCAGUGAAUGAAUGCUUCUUGAAUAAAUGAAUUACUGGAAGGCA
rnacentral:lncRNA from 1 species